rnacentral:rRNA from 1 species
AGUGAACGCUGGCGGUAGGCCUAACACAUGCAAGUCGAACGGCAGCACAGUAAGAGCUUGCUCUUACGGGUGGCGAGUGGCGGACGGGUGAGGAAUACAUCGGAAUCUACUUUUUCGUGGGGGAUAACGUAGGGAAACUUACGCUAAUACCGCAUACGACCUACGGGUGAAAGCAGGGGAUCUUCGGACCUUGCGCGAUUGAAUGAGCCGAUGUCGGAUUAGCUAGUUGGCGGGGUAAAGGCCCACCAAGGCGACGAUCCGUAGCCGGUCUGAGAGGAUGAUCAGCCACACUGGAACUGAGACACGGUCCAGACUCCUACGGGAGGCAGCAGUGGGGAAUAUUGGACAAUGGGCGCAAGCCUGAUCCAGCCAUACCGCGUGGGUGAAGAAGGCCCUCGGGUUGUAAAGCCCUUUUGUUGGGAAAGAAAAGCAGCAGGUUAAUACCCCGCUGUUCUGACGGUACCCAAAGAAUAAGCACCGGCUAACUUCGUG